AACGAACGCUGGCGGCAGGCCUAACACAUGCAAGUCGAGGGAGAAGCUUACUUCGGUAAGUGGAGACCGGCAGACGGGUGAGUAACACGUGGGAAUAUACCUAGUAGUGGGGGAUAACAGUUGGAAACGACUGCUAAUACCGCAUACGCCCUUCGGGGGAAAGAUUUAUCGCUAUUAGAUUAGCCCGCGUUAGAUUAGCUAGUUGGUAAGGUAAGAGCUUACCAAGGCGACGAUCUAUAGCUGGUUUGAGAGGAUGAUCAGCCACACUGGGACUGAGACACGGCCCAG
rnacentral:rRNA from 1 species